GAUGAACGCUGGCGGCGUGCUUAACACAUGCAAGUCGAACGAAGCAUUUGCGACAGAUUUUUUCGGAAUGAAGUUGCUUAUGACUGAGUGGCGGACGGGUGAGUAACGCGUGGGUAACCUGCCUUGUACUGGGGGAUAGCAGCUGGAAACGGCUGGUAAUACCGCAUAAGCGCACAAUGUUGCAUGACAUGGUGUGAAAAACUCCGGUGGUAUAAGAUGGACCCGCGUCUGAUUAGCUAGUUGGUGAGAUAACAGCCCACCAAGGCGACGAUCAGUAGCCGACCUGAGAGGGUGACCGGCCACAUUGGGACUGAGACAUGGCCCAGACUCCUACGGGAGGCAGCAGUGGGGAAUAUUGCACAAUGGAGGAAACUCUGAUGCAGCGACGCCGCGUGAGUGAAGAAGUAAUUCGUUAUGUAAAGCUCUAUCAGCAGGGAAGAUAGUGACGGUACCUGACUAAGAAGCUCCGGCUAAAUACGUG
rnacentral:rRNA from 1 species